UUGAUCCUGGCUCAGAACGGACGCUGGCGGCGCGUUUUAUGCAUGCAAGUCGGACGGGAUCCAUGGCUUCGGCUGUGGUGAGAGUGGCGAACGGGUGAGUAACACGUAGGUUAUCUGCCUUUGGGUGGGGGAUAGCCCAUGGAAACAUGGGGUAAUACCGCAUAAAGCCUUUCGGGGUUAAAGGAGCAAUUGUUCCGCCUGGGGAUGAGCCUGCGGUCCAUUAGCUUGUUGGUGUGGUAAUGGCGCACCAAGGCGACGAUGGAUAGCCGGCCUGAGAGGGUGAACGGCCACACUGGGACUGAGACACGGCCCAGACUCCUACGGGAGGCAGCAGCUAAGAAUCUUCCGCAAUGGGGGAAACCCUGACGGAGCGACGCCGCGUGGACGAUGAAGGCCGGAAGGUUGUAAAGUCCUUUUCUUCGCGAAGAAUAAUGCUGGGAGUGGAAUGCCCGGCAGAUGACGUUAGCGGAGGAAUAAGCCCCGGCCAAUUACGUGCCAGCAGCCGCGGUAACACGUAUGGGGCGAGCGUUGUUCGGAAUUAUUGGGCGUAAAGGGCGUGUAGGCGGCCUGUUAAGCUUGGUGUUAAAGGCCACGGGUCAAACCGUGGUUAAGCGCUGAGAACUGGCGGGCUAGAGUUCUGGAGGGGGAGCUGGAAUUCCAGGUGUAGGGGUGAAAUCUGUAGAUAUCUGGAAGAACACCGGUGGCGAAGGCGAGCUCCUGGGCAUGGACUGACGCUGAGGCGCGGAAGCGUGGGGAGCGAACAGGAU
rnacentral:rRNA from 1 species